UACAUGGGGGGCAAGCGUUGUUCGGAAUUACUGGGCAUAAAGGGUGCGUAGGUGGCUUGUUAAGUCAGGGGUGAAAGUUUUCGGCCCAACCGGAAAAUGGCCUUUGAUACUGGCGAGCUCGAGUGCGUGAGGGGUAACCGGAACGAGCAGUGUAGCGGUGAAAUGCGUAGAUAUUGCUCGGAAGGCCAACGGCGAAGGCAGGUUACUGGUGCGCAACUGACACUGAGGCACGAAAGCGUGGGGAGCAAACAGG
rnacentral:rRNA from 1 species